AAUUUUUAAUUUAAAGAUUUACAUAUGAAUUUGAUCUCUAAUAAUUUUAAAUAUAAAAAGAUAUUUUUGAAAUUACUUGUGCACGCAUACAAACUAAUAUACGAAAUGAAUACAUGUGCUCAUACAUCAUAUGUAAGUUCUCAUUAAUUUUAAGAAAAAGUAGAAUAAAGUUCAAGAUAAAAUUAAAAACCCAUUAUACAUAAUUGACUAAAAGAUUAAGGUCAAAAUAAUACAAGUGAGAACGAUGGAAAAAAAAAAUAGUCAUGCAACUUUUCAUGAAAAUGAGGUUAGCCGCAUUAAUAAAAGUCGAGCCAUCAAAAACACAGAAAAUUUGAAGUUAGCCAUCUUUAGCACAAAAUGCAGCUGGAAAGCUUGAGAAUUCAGGGAUUCUCUUUAAUUCCAUUCAUUGUCGGCACAAGGUAUUUACUUUUUGCGACGCAAUUUGCAUGCGUGAUGAGUAAUCAAGAUAGGGUUUUGUAUCUUUUCUCUUUUGUUUAAAGCUAGUAAAAAUUCUAAUUUCAACAUGAAGAUAUUAUGAAAAAUCACAAAUUUUGACUAAAAUAUGAAAAUUAAAUCUAGAAAAUCUUUAGUAAUCAUCAAAUAAGAGCAAAUUUUGAUUUUGACACCUAUAAUUUUGAAAAGUAUUAUCCUUAAUAGAUGAUAAUGUGUUGUUAAAGGGUUAUAACUAUUUUAACAAACAAUAAUAUCUUCAUUAAUUCUCAUGAACAACAUGGGAGAAAAGUAGCUUCGUAAAAUGGAAUCUUGGAAUGAGUUAUGCUAUGCCUAAUGCCAUGGAAUAUAUGUCUUUAUCUUCCGUAUUUAACAUGUCUUUCUCGUUCUCUAAAUUCAAUAAUUCAUUUCUCAAUUGUUGUUCGCUUGAAUGCUCACGCUUAAAUCAAUUUGUUCAUUUCACCAAAUAUUGAAAGUGAUUGAAAAGCCUAUACCAAUAAUUUUUUCUUCUUCUUUUUCUUUUCAUUCAACAAGAGAAAAAAAAAUAGAGUGAGGGAGAGAAAGGAACGAAUAUCCAAGGGUAAAAUGUCCAUUACCCAUAUGUACUAUCCUCUUUCUUCAAAAGCUAUCUUUUUAGGGUUUAGCAAGUUCAAAAGUGUUAUCAGUCCCCCUUCGGCCCUCCCCUAAUAAAAAAGAAUAUAUGUAAUCUGAUAGAAAAGAAAAUAGUUAAUAUCAAAGCAAAAAAAACAGAAAAGAAGUGAUUUGAUGUACAAUAUGAAAUGGUAUUUGACUAUUUCUUGUUUGCUAUUGCUGACCAAGUCAAAAAUAUAAAGGUAACUUUUUUAGUAGAGUAUCAUGCCACCCACCUUUGGAAGCAAAAGGCAAAAAGAAAUUCCUAAUUUAAUAUAGAUCAUACCAUUAAUUUUAGCUAUAUCAAAAGAAAAAGAAAUUACAAUCAUUUUAAACGAAUGAUUGAUUUACAAUUGAAUUACGUAAAGGAACACUAUACAAGUUCGAAUCUUAUUAUAAUUAAAAAUUGAAAAAAAAAAAAAAAGCAUACUAUUUAAUAAGUGGGCUGUCCUUCUGCACUUGGAGAAAACUUCUCUUUUUUUUUUUAUUUUCAAAAUUAUUCUUGUGUCGGCAAGCUAUAAAUUCUUUUUAAAAGGAAAGAUACCACCAACACAUAUAAGAAAAAAGGUAAUUCCAUUUUUAUUUCAUUGUUUUACCUGUUUUUAUUGGUAUAUUGCAAAUCUCAAUUGCAUCUAUGAAGUGGAAUGAAAACAAUGUUAUUUCAAAAAAUAAAAUCAAGGUGAAAAAAAGUCUUAUUACCAUACAUCUCUUUCAAGUUGACUUCAUAAUUUUAAUUAAAACGAUUGGGAAAAGGCGAAGAAAAAUGCAUCACUUCCAUCCACAUAAUAAUAUUCCAAUUUUUUUUUCUUUUAAUUGGAUCCUUUGUAAAAAGGGUCAUGGAUUUUUUUUUUCUUCUUUUUUGCAGCCGUAUUGACCAAAUGUACAGGCAAGUAAAAGGAUGUAAGAAAGAAAUCCAAGUGAUAAGAACAACAAUAACAACAAACGGUCAAUACAUAUCUUGAACACAUUGGAUGACUCUGUUGGGUAUUUUCCAGGGCUUUUGAUGAGGGAAUAUCUUCGAAUUGAUCCCAAAAAGUUUUGUCUGACUGCUCAUUAUACUUUUCUUUUCAAUCAAAACAACCUAGUACUUAUCAUUUCACUUUGUUCCAACCCAUGAUCGUUUGACACAUGGAUGACUUGAUAGCUGUUGAUUUCCUUUUUUUUUUUUUUUUUUGGUUUAAGGAUGGAUAAGAAUGAAAAAACCUCUUCCCCUGUCUCUCAAUCUAAAUUUCUAUGUCCUCUCAUGCCUUUUCUUCUUUGGAGUUUGGAUGGUUUGCUUGUAAUAAUGUUCAGAAAUUGUGUGCGGCUCCCCUUUUUUCUCUUUUCUUUGUUAAGGUUGGAAAAGAAAUUUUGAAAACUCAAUUGCUUAAGGUUGCUUGUUGGAUUUAUUAUUUUAAGAAAAUACUAAUAAGAUUCAAUAACUUUAUCUUCAUUCAUUUGAAUUACUAGAAAAUUUAUUACACGAAACAUUAUAUCCACAUAAUUAAAUGUAUAAAUAAAUUAAGUUAUACGUAAGAUAUUAAAAUUUAAUUUAAUAAUUAUUUGAUUAAGUUUAUAUUCAACAAAUCGAGUUGAAUUUAAAUUUUAAAUUCGUAUAUGAAACGUGAAAUAAAUCAAAAAAAAUCAUAAGAUUUUUGGACAUAGAUAAAUUAGAAAGGAUUAGAAACUAAAUCAUUUCCAAUUAUGAAAAAUCACAAUCUAUAUUAUUUUUUCAAAAAAUAAAUUGUACAAAGAUUUUGAAUUGUGUACAUUGCAUCAACCAUCUAGCUAGGUGCCAAAAAAAAA